rnacentral:rRNA from 1 species
UACAGAGGUCUCAAGCGUUGUUCGGAUUCAUUGGGCGUAAAGGGUGCGUAGGCGGCGCGGUAAGUCGGGUGUGAAAUCUUGGAGCUUAACUCCGAAGCUGCAUUCGAUACUGCCGUGCUUGAGGACUGGAGAGGAGACUGGAAUUUACGGUGUAGCGGUGAAAUGCGUAGAUAUCGUAAGGAAGACCAGUGGCGAAGGCGGGGCUCUGGACAGUUCCUGACGCUGAGGCACGAAGGCCAGGGGAGCAAACGGG